CUUAUUCGUGACGUGCGCAUAGAUUCGCUGUAACUUUACCUUCCGUCAAAAUUCAAACUUUCUAAAAUAUCGUAUGCCGAAGCCAAUUACAGUAAAUAAACAAACAAUAAAAGUAGGAAAACUUUAGUUCCAUAACUAUAUAAUAAAUAAACGGCAUAAGAAAAAUAGUUUUCACCCAAAAGUAUAUUUCCAACAGAUCGCGUUAAUAUCUUAAUAUAUCAUGUAUAAAUAUCGGCAAAAUAAACAAGUCCGUUAAUAUCUUAAUAUAUCAUUUAUAAAUAUCGCAAAAAUUAAGUUGUACAAUAUAUACAAUUGAAUAUGAAAUACAAAAUAUUAUUAAUUUAAUUUUUUUAAAACAAAUAUUUAAUAAUUAAAUUUUUUUAAAAAAUUCAUUCUACUAGGCUCAUUUAAUUUAGAUUCAAUCUUAAAUUUUUUCCCCAAAAAAUUUAAAUCUCAAGCACGUACGUCCAAAGCGAUUCUCUUUUACAUGACAUCACUCACAGUUGCUUACGUGUACAACAUGUCAGCAUGUCGGCAACAUAAAUGCAUAGCAACCCAUGCAUUAAUUAGAUAUUUAAUUUUAAAAAUACUAAAACCCAACCAAAAUAAUCAAUUUGUACAAAAAUACACCUUUUUAUUCCUUAUUUUCAACUUAAAAAUUACUAUAAAUUAAAUCUUUAUAAUUAUAUAAUUAUACGUACGUUUGUGUUGGGGUGGGGUUACAUCUUUUUCUAUAAUUAGGCAGAGAUGACACUCUUAUUACAAAGAAUUUAAGUAAUCUGGUACAGGAUCGUGUCGAGUCGUGUCGAUACGUGUCGGUGAAAAAAAAUUUUAUGUGCUGAUACAUAAUAGUUCGAAAUAUUUAUUUUCUUUAGUAAUAAAAUAUUUUAAUUAUUUAUUAUAUUUUUUUUUGAAUUUUAUUUAGAAAAUUAUUUAUUAAUUUAAAGAUAAAGAGUUUUGGGCUGUGCUAUCGGUGCUGGGUCUUUAUCGUACCGCUAGUUUGUUGGCACGGUAUGACACGAUGGAUACGACGGGUGCCAACGG
rnacentral:lncRNA from 1 species